rnacentral:rRNA from 1 species
UACGUAGGGUGCAAGCGUUGUCCGGAAUUAUUGGGCGUAAAGAGCUCGUAGGCGGCUCGUCGCGUCGGCUGUGAAAACCCGGGGCUCAACCCCGGGCCUGCAUUCGAUACGGGCAGACUAGAGUUCGGUAGGGGAGUCUGGAAUUCCUGGUGUAGCGGUGAAAUGCGCAGAUAUCGGGAGGAACACCGGUGGCGAAGGCGGUUCUCUGGGCCUUACCUGACGCUGAGGAGCGAAAGCGUGGGGAGCGAACAGG